rnacentral:rRNA from 1 species
AAUAGAUACCCAGGUAGUCCACGCCGUAAACGAUGAGUGCUAAGUGUUAGAGGGUUUCCGCCCUUUAGUGCUGCAGCAAACGCAUUAAGCACUCCGCCUGGGGAGUACGGCCGCAAGGCUGAAACUCAAAGGAAUUGACGGGGGCCCGCACAAGCGGUGGAGCAUGUGGUUUAAUUCGAAGCAACGCGAAGAACCUUACCAGGUCUUGACAUCCUUAUGACUUCCCUAGAGAUAGGGCUUCCCCUUCGGGGGCAUAAGUGACAGGUGGUGCAUGGUUGUCGUCAGCUCGUGUCGUGAGAUGUUGGGUUAAGUCCCGCAACGAGCGCAACCCUUGAUCUUAGUUGCCAGCAUUCAGUUGGGCACUCUAAGGUGACUGCCGGUGACAAACCGGAGGAAGGUGGGGAUGACGUCAAAUCAUCAUGCCCCUUAUGACCUGGGCUACACACGUGCUACAAUGGAUGGUACAAAGGGCAGCGAAGCCGCGAGGUGAAGCGAAUCCCAUAAAACCAUUCUCAGUUCGGA